CCCCAACAAAAACAACUAAAAGAAAGAAGGAAACAACUCCAAUGCCAGGCUCAGUUAAUCAUGCAUUAUGGCCAUAACAAGGGCUACCUGUCCUAAGUUAAAAACAAAGCAGUUUUGCAGAUCCUCGUCCAUCACAUUUGUUCUCAUCAAUAUUUAUGUUAGGUGACACUGAAGCCAUUUAAGAAGAUACCUCACCAUCAAUUUAUAUCCUACCCUUCCUAACCUUCCUCCAAAUAUCUAUCUCUAUAAUUAUUAAUGUACCUUCUUUAGAUCUUCAUUAUUAAUAGUUCAUACUCC
rnacentral:lncRNA from 1 species